CGGUGGAUGAUGUGGUUUAAUUCGAUGCAACGCGAAAACCUUACCACCUUGUACAUGUACGGAAUCCUUUAGAGAUAGAGGAGUGCUCGAAAGAGAGCCGUAACACAGGUGCUGCAUGGCUGUCGUCAGCUCGUGUCGUGAGAUGUUGGGUUAAGUCCCGCAACGAGCGCAACCCUUGUCAUUAGUUGCUACAUUCAGUUGGGCACUCUAAUGAGACUGCCGGUGACAAACCGGAGGAAGGUGGGGAUGACGUCAAGUCCUCAUGGCCCUUAUAGGUGGGGCUACACACGUCAUACAAUGGAUGGUACAAAGGGUCGCCAACCCGCGAGGGGGAGCCAAUCCCAUAAAGCCAUUCGUAGUCCGGAUCGCAGUCUGCAACUCGACUGCGUGAAGUCGGGAUCGCUAGUAAUCGUGGAUCAGAAUGUCACGGUGAAUACGUUCCCGGGUCUU
rnacentral:rRNA from 1 species